AGUAGCCUCGGGGCGUCCAGGAGGGUCGGUCCAGGCCGGGAAGAGACCCCAUCCCCCCGCGGGGCGAGCCGAGAUGUGGGCGGCAGGUGCCCAGGAAGAGGCAGGCGGGACUGAGCAGAAAGAGUAGGCGUCUGCCGGGAGCCCUGGGGGCCGAAGCGGGACAGCAGAGGCCGAAACAGGAACUGGGGCAGAGGCGGAGCCGGGGCGGCCACAUGAUGGGGUGGAGCCCGGGGGCGUCCGCAGAGAUCUCCAGGGACCCCUGUGACACGAGUCCAGCUAGAAUGUCAUGCAGGCGCCCUAGCUCCACUGAGGUUACCAACCCCGCCUGCGCCUGGGAGUUCCCGGCCCCUGGACCACUCCUAGUGCAUCCGGACGUACCCAGAGCUCCGGUCCUCCACCUAAACUGUACACUCGGGAGAGGUGAGCCCAUCUGCUGGAGGGGGCCGUGUGAACUCAGUUCCGGGAGCCAGGGGUGUCCAAGGCUCCCAGUGCACCCCAACAGCCCUGCCUCCGAGAGCCCCCAAGGAUGAAGAAAAGGAGGCCACAAGCAGUUAAGAAAUUGGCCCAACGGCAGACAGCUCCUGAGAGGAAGAGUCAGACUGAACCACAGGCACUGACCUCCAGACGCCAGUAGGCAUGAACUAGCACCCAGAACCCACAGGAAAAGCAUCAGAGUUUGAGUUCAGCACUAACUUGUACUGUGACUUCAGGAGUCCCUCCUUCCCUCACAGGGCUGCUAUCAUGAGGAAAAUCAGCUAACAUUUGCAAAGUGGCCAACAGGAUGUCUAAUCCACAGUAAGUGCUUGAGAAAGAGCCUGAAUUUUCUCACGUAAUAAAAUAUUUCUUGGGCAUCUA